AUUGAACGCUGGCGGCAUGCUUUACACAUGCAAGUCGAACGGUAACAGGCCGCAAGGUGCUGACGAGUGGCGCACGGGUGAGUAAUGCAUCGGAACGUGCCCAGUCGUGGGGGAUAACUACUCGAAAGAGUAGCUAAUACCGCAUACGAUCUAUGGAUGAAAGCGGGGGACCGUAAGGCCUCGCGCGAUUGGAGCGGCCGAUGUCAGAUUAGUUAGUUGGUGGGGUAAAGGCUCACCAAGCCAACGAUCUGUAGCUGGUCUGAGAGGACGACCAGCCACACUGGGACUGAGACACGGCCCAGCCUCCUACGGGAGGCAGCAGUGGGGAAUUUUGGACAAUGGGCGCAAGCCUGAUCCAGCAAUGCCGCGUGCAGGAAGAAGGCCUUCGGGUUGUAAACUGCUUUUGUACGGAACGAAACGGCUCUGGUUAAUACCCGGGGCUAAUGACGGUACCGUAAGAAUAAGCACCGGCUAACUACGUG
rnacentral:rRNA from 1 species